rnacentral:lncRNA from 1 species
CCUUCAGGCAGGGUCUUCGCUCGCGCUCGUCUGCGUCAUCACCCACACACAAGCCCCGCCCACGGCCGUCCUCUGGUUUCGGGACGACACGGAGCUCGAUUACGACUCCCCCAGGGGCGGCAUCUCGCUGCAGGUGGAGAAAACAGGCGACCGAACCACAUCACGUUUGCUCUUGUCGACCGUGAGGAAUACAGACUCCGGGAACUACACCUGCGUGCCCGUCAACGCCCCCAGAGCCUCGGUUUACGUGCACGUCAACACAGACGAGUUACGAGCGGCUGUCCAGCAGGAGGGGGUGAGUCAUGGACGCGGCGGAGGGGGGGCCCGGGGGUCGCUGUCCCUUCUGCUGGCCUGCUUCUGCUUGGUGGGGGUCCAGCAGGCCAUGCCGGUGUCCUAGCACU